GUCUACAGCCAUGCCACACCGAGCAAGCCCAAUCCCGUCUGAUCUUGGAAGCUAAGCAGGGUCGGGACUGGUUAGUUCUUGGAUGGGAGACCACCUAGGAAGACCAGGUGCUGUAGGCG
rnacentral:rRNA from 1 species